UUACGGUCAUAUCAUAUUGAAACACUGGUUCCUGCAUGAUCACUGAAGUUAGGCAACAUUGAGUCUGAUCAGUACCUAGAUGGGGGACUGCUUGGGAAUAGCAGAUACUGUAAG